AUCCAAAAUUCCUGGACUCAACCGCUACUUGCCGCAAAUGGGAAUUUGUCGGUACGUGAGGGCGUCGUGCUGGAAGCGUUUGGUGUUGCGGCCAUGUGUAUUGCGGUGGCAAUGUCAAGGCAUCUCACCGCAUCCAGACAACAACCUUGAGCCAUACGUUGUAUUGGGAGUUGGAAGGAAUUGCAUAUGAUACUACAUACAUGUGCGGUCUA